CUUAUGUUAUUAUGCUACCUAUGCUAUUUCCAUCACUAAACCAAACUGUUACUACCGCAAUUAGUAAAACAUUGAUGGCGGCUAAAUUUGCAGUUCUUUUGCUUGACUUAUCUCUGAAAAUUUAAUGCAUGGAUAACAUAUCUGAACCCCAAACAUUCGUUUUUAACGAGCCUAUGCCAACGUACCUUAACACUUUCAAUAAGAAAAAGCAAAACUUGAUAUCACGCUACAUAGCACCUAUAAUUCAUUACAAGAAAACAUAAUUCAUUAAAUAACGUAAAACAGCUCUAGAAACAAAAAACUUAUAUGAAUACCAAAAUCAGACCAAAUAACUCAACAAGACGCUAUCGCGUUUCAGUGCUUGACUCUUUGUAUUUGUCGAUCAUCAUAUUUUGGGAAAAGCUACAUUUAAUAAUAUGCUAACUAAAAGUAGGUCUGGCUUGAUUCGAACAAGCACUCCGACAGAGUAAACCAAAUUUUCAAACCUUUUUCUUUAAGGAAAAAAACCUUUGAGCACGAGACUAAGCCCCAUUGUGAUACAUCAACAAAUGGAUGCGACCGUAUAACUAUCAACUACGACGAAAAACCACAAUUCAGAAAUGGCGUAAUCAACCAUACCGUUCGUACACUAGACGCUCAAGAAACACAACUCAUAGACUGUAUUCCUUAUCUACUCCAUUCUGGACAAGGAGUUAUAUCUCUUGAGGUUUAAAGUACAAAGGCUAAAGG